rnacentral:rRNA from 1 species
UACGUAGGGCGCAAGCGUUGUCCGGAAUUAUUGGGCGUAAAGAGCUCGUAGGCGGUUUGUCGCGUCUGUCGUGAAAGCUUGGGGCUUAACCCCAAGUCUGCGGUGGAUACGGGCAGACUAGAGGCAGGUAGGGGAGAACGGAAUUCCCGGUGUAGCGGUGAAAUGCGCAGAUAUCGGGAGGAACACCGGUGGCGAAGGCGGGUCUCUGGGCCGAAACUGACGCUGAGGAGCGAAAGCGUGGGGAGCAAACAGG